AUCCAGACUCCUACGGGAGGCAGCAGUGGGGAAUAUUGCACAAUGGGGGAAACCCUGAUGCAGCGACGCCGCGUGAGUGAAGAAGUAUUUCGGUAUGUAAAGCUCUAUCAGCAGGGAAGAAAAUGACGGUACCUGAUUAAGAAGCCCCGGCUAACUACGUGCCAGCAGCCGCGGUAAUACGUAGGGGGCAAGCGUUAUCCGGAUUUACUGGGUGUAAAGGGAGCGUAGACGGCAGUGCAAGUCUGAAGUGAAAGCCCCGGGCUUAACCCGGGAACUGCUUUGGAAACUGUACGGCUGGAGUGCUGGAGAGGUAAGCGGAAUUCCUAGUGUAGCGGUGAAAUGCGUAGAUAUUAGGAGGAACACCAGUGGCGAAGGCGGCUUACUGGACUGUAACUGACACUGAGGCACGAAAGCGUGGGGAGCAAACAGGAUUAGAUACCCUGGUA
rnacentral:rRNA from 1 species